UUUGUGGACGUAAUGUUGACGGGUCCAAUUUCUGCAGAGGAAUACUUUGCAGCCACUGCAGCCAGUCUGUGGCUGCCGGUGAAGCCAUCUACGGCACGGAUUCCAAAACAUUUUGUAACUAUGAGUCAUUUUGACGAUUUUGACACCAAAAUAUGUUAUAGCACCCAGGUUUAAAAAUACCAAAAUUAUCCUUUAAUAAUCACAUACAAGAUGAACAUAAUGAUACUCACCAAUGGGUAGCACCAGGAAAAAGGGCAGCCAGCACAACACGAAGCAGCCAACCACAAUGCCCAAGGUCUUUGCGGCCUUCUUCUCACGCCCUGGCUCUCUCUGUGAGCUACCACAUAUACCCGACAGUACAUGACCAGUAUGAUGGCAAGAGGAAGGUAGAAAGAGCCCAAAGCAGAGAAGAUAGCAUAGCCCGGCACCUGUGUGAUCUUGCAUACUGACUCGUCCUCAGGUGCCGGCUCUUUCCAGCCAAACAAAGGUCCAAUAGAUAUGAUGAUAGACAGCACCCAAAGCAGCAUCACUGCCAGCAGCGCCCUGCGUUUUGUCAUUAUAGUUGGGUAACGCAGAGGGUAACUCACUCCGAUGUAGCGGUCAACGGAGAUCACACAGAGGCUCAUGAUGGAGGCAGUGCAGCAGAGCACGUCCACAGCUGCCCAAACAUUGCAAAAGGCCCGUCCAAAGACCCAACGAUCCACAAUCUCAAAAAUGGCAGAGAAAGGUGUCGGUGACAAACUACUGAGAGGAUUACCAAAAUGUUUCCCACAAUUCCAAACACAAUGAGGAAACCGAGCACCAAGCCCAAAACUACAGCCUUGACUACGUUGAGCUCUGGGACUAAAACCUGGCUGCAGUUGGAGCAGUUCUGUGUCAGAGAAGCUGGGGUCAUUUUGUCAAGCACAGGAACCAUCUGUUCCAGUACUAAGCUGAUGCUCGACACUGUCCUGUGAAGCAAAGGUGUACUGAAACACAACACACCUAUUUCAGUUCACUACAGGGGGAAAAGGACAUCAGGGCUUUCUCAUAAAAGCCAUUAGAGUAAUGAUCGCAUUAAGACUGUCUUGUCUAAACAUAAUUUGAAUGAUGAUGCCUCUGGCAAAUGAGCCAUUACACUGGCAAUGCAUCAAGAAAAAUAAAACUACAGGACGCAUGCAGAAACACCGAGAGAGAAGUUUAAUAUAUGCACACAAAACCUACCUUAAACCUUAAAACUGAG